GCCCAUGUGGCUCAGUGUUAGAGCAUUGGCCUUUGCACCAAAGGGUCAUGGGUUUGAUUCCAAGCCAAGGGCG
rfam:Myotis davidii contig227533, whole genome shotgun sequence.